CUACUUUAUAGUACUUAACUCCGGAAAACCAGUUCGGAAUAACUACACAUUAAUAUGUGGUAUUUCGACAUGUUUACAACAUAAUUUUAGUGAAACAUUCUCCAUGUAGUUGCAUCGUGUUGAAUCUCAAGUAUAAAUGGCAUUCUCUGUGAUUCUUGCAAUUUGUGUGAUUACAUAUUACGUACCUGUCAGCGCCAACAACAUUAUACUGCUUGAGGAAACACCAAUUAAAGAAGAAAUUCUUUUAGGUUCAUAUAAAGUAGCAGCUCCACCAAGAACAUCUACUCCUAUUCCUGUAUUAGAAGAAAUCCAAUUGUCCGUUGCAUUGCCCGACAUGUUUUGUAGAUCGUGUAAAUCAAUGCAAAUUAGUUGGCGGAUCAAGUGUGAGCGGAGAUUUUGUUUAUAAAUCAAUAAAUGAUGGCAUUUUAA